AUCGGAGGGCUGAGCUCUGAAACAACCGACAAGAGUCUGAAGAGGCAUUUUGAGCAGUGGAAGACACUCACCAACAUUGUGGUAAUGAGAGAUCCAAACACCAAGAGAUCCAGGGCCUUUGGUUUUGUCACUUAUACCACUGUAGAAGUAGAGAAUGCUGCUGUGAAUUCAAGACCACACAAAGUGCUUGGAAGAAUUGUCAAGGUAGAUUCUCAGAGACCAGGUGCCCACUUAAGUAUGAAAAAGAUUUUUGUUGGUGCUAUUAAAGAAGACACUGAAGAACGUCACCUUUGAGACUAUUUUGAGCAGUAGGAGAAAAUUGAAGUGAUAGAAAUUAUGACUGACGGUGGCAGUGGGAAAAAAGGGGGCAUUACUUUUGUCACCUUUGAUGACCAUGUCUCUGUGGAUAAGAUUGUUAUUCAGAAAUACCAUACUGUGAAUGGCCACAGCUAUGAAGUAAAAGAAGCUCUGUCGAGGCAAAAAAGAUGCCAGUGCUUCUUCUAGCCAGAGAGGCUGAAGGGGUUCCAGAAACUUUGGUGAUGAUCAUGGAGGUAGUUUUGGCAGCAAUGACAAUUUUGGUUGAGGAGGAAACUUCAGUGGCCACGGUGGCUUUGGUGGCAGCCCUGGUGGUGGAUAUGGUGGCAAGGGGAUGCCUAUAAGGGAUUUGGUAAUGAUGGAAGCAAUUUUGGAGGUGGUGAGAGCUACAACGAUUUUAGCAAUUAUAACAUUCAGUCUUCAAAUUUGGACAGAUGUAGGAAGGAAACUUUGGAGGCAGAAGCUCCGGCCCUUAUGGUGGCAGAGGGCCAGUACUUUGCUAAACCAUGAAGCCAACGUGGCUAUGGAGGUCCCAGCAGUAGCAGCAGCUAUGACAGUUGCAGGAAGUUCU
rnacentral:lncRNA from 1 species